GCAGGGGUGGGUCACGUGACGAUCCUCUUCAACAAUAUCCGGGCCUUGCAGACACGAUGUCGGACUCCUCUUCCAUAUAACACAGUAUUUGUUAUAUUUCACAGCUUACAACACAAGCACGGAAACUGGGGUAAACCAGGAUUCAAACCCUGUCACAGAUGCUCUUCGGUUCCUGAUUUUGAUGAACACUGCAACAUCAUGUAAUAAAGUAACAAAUAUUCUGUCUCGACUAGUUUUUAUUCAAAAUACAAGUUAACGAAGUAUUCCUUCUGGUCGCUGCGACAUUUGGUCUGAAACAGGAGGUGGAGAAGCCUUUGAUUCCUGACAACUGCUUCAGUGAUGUUCGUUUGUCAAUGAACUUUUGACAGGGACAACAUGCCUUGCUGUAGAGGUGAUUUAUACAUACAUACCUGGUGAGACGAUGAAUGGCUGCUUCUCGAUUCGGGCGGAACUCAUCAAGGGAAUACAUACAACUGCAAUGACCACAAA